rnacentral:rRNA from 1 species
UACGUAGGGCGCAAGCGUUAUCCGGAAUUACUGGGCGUAAAGCGUGCGCAGGCGGUUUGUUAAGUCCGUUGUGAAAGCCCCGAGCUCAACUUGGGGAUUGCAGUGGAUACUGGCAGGCUGGAGUACGGUAGAGGAAGGUGGAAUUCCCGGUGUAGCAGUGAAAUGCGUAGAGAUCGGGAGGAACACCAGUGGCGAAGGCGGCCUUCUGGACCAGUACUGACGCUCAUGCACGAAAGCGUGGGGAGCAAACAGG